CCAGGGAAUACACAGCUCUGACACAGAUAGGUGUGUAAAGUUGAGUGGGGCUCAGGUUUAACUGUUAAACGUGACUGUAAAUGGCACACUUUUCUGUAAGUUUGAACUUAUUUUCAUUGUUUGAAGUCGGGAGAAUUUAGUACAAGACUUGUUUUUUUAUUACUCAUUCACAGACACCAUGCAGGAAGGUUUACAGUAGUUGCUUGAAAGAAUGAAAAAGUUCACUUUCUAGGAGCAUCAGUUUGACUGGUUAUAAUCGUAUGUAUUAUAGUGACUCUUUAUCACCAAAGGACUGCUUUGAGUUCUGUAUAGCGAAAUGAAUAUCCCUCCUGAGAGAAGAAUGGACUCUAUCAAGAUUCCUGUUGUCACAGAAGCAUUCCUUUGGAGACAGAUGAGUCUAUGACAUUAUCAACCCUGGACCUACUGUGACCUGUGGGCCAAAGGAAGAGGGCUGGUUCACCCCUGAGGUGACUGUCAAUGAUGUAGGCCAGGUGGACGACCCCAAGGACCCCUGGAGAAGCCCAGUGGAGGACCCUCAGGGUCAGCCUCCACCCCCGCCCAGAGCCCCUUCCCUGCCUGAGCCACAUCAGCAAGACAUGUCCCCCCACACCCCUGAUCGCCUGAUGAAAGGCCCCUACCCUGACAAUCUCAGGUUACACCCCUACAGAGAAAAGGCUCAGUGAACUGAGGAUGAGGACUUCUCUUUAUCUGGACUUCUCCAGUGGGAAGUGGUGGGCUUCGCUGGUCCUCCUAGCUGGCCACUACCUUGGGACUGUUGUCUUGAAAGGAGCAGAACACGUAGAAGCCCGUCUUCCUCUCACGUCUGACUUAAACAACAUCCACUACUGUGUCCCUCCAAGUCACCAAGCACACAUGCCUCCUCAGUGUAAGUAACAUGAUGUACUGUAUAUGACUACAGUAUUCAUAGAAUGAGACAGAACAGAUAUACAGUCGUGGCCAAAAGUUUUGAGAAUGACACAAAUAUUAAUUUUCACAAAGUCUGCUGCCUCAGUUUAUAUGAUGG